UUUGAUAGCAUCUUAUACUCAGAUUCUCUUGAAGUGUUAGUCAAAAUAACUGGCACCAAAACUAGCAACCAAAGCAAUCAUUUUAGUUUCUCGGGUUUUUAAAAUGUCAACAGACAUCAGCCUAAAUGGGUAAUUCAAUAGUAAAACAACAUUUUAAUUUUUAUCUGCUUAAAUUCUUAAUGUGCUCCUAUGAUGCCAAAAGAAAAAAAUAUGACACGAAUUUCAAUUGAACAGAUUCAUUUAAAGGAAAAAUAGCUCACAUUUAGAUGAUAGGUUCAAACGAGUGAUCCAAGUAGGAAUUUUAUCUUUAUUAAACUUAAGAGUGGCAGGUUAAAAGUACUGUCCAUGUUCCUUACUGAUUCUUUCAGCAUAACAAAUGCUACAUGACCAUGAGCUUCAUAUUAUACUAGAAAAACACAACACUGAUGAUAUAAUGAGAGACAUUAUAUAUAACAGAAAUAGUCCUGGGUUAAGAAUCAAAAAUUCCAAUUCCAAUUUUGUCACUGUCUAUAAUGAACGAGCCAUAGCAAUUAAAUCCUGAAAGUCUCAAUAUCCCUAUAUGCAAAAUGAAAUAAUCUGCUUUCUCUACCAAAAAAGGUUGCUAGAAGGAUCAGAAAAGAUGAUGUAUGUAAAAGGACUUGGAAGUAACACACCACAAAAAUAUCAUGAAUACUAUUAAGUUGACCACUAAUUUCAUAUUAAUGUCAAAACUAAGCAUCAGUUGAAAUUAAGAACAUAUCAUUAUCAAUUUUCAGGGUUUUUUUUUUUUUUUAAGAUUGUAUUUAUUUAUAAUGAGAGACAGAGAGAGGCAGAGACACAGGCAGAGGGAGAAGCAGGCUCCAUGCAGGGAGCCCGACGGAGGAUUCGAUCCCAGGACUCCAGGAUCAUGCCCUGGGUGGAAGGGAGGCGCUCAACCACCAAACCAUCCAGGCGUCCCAAUUUUCAGGGUUAAAGCCUAUAUAGGUCCUAUAGUCCAAUCAAAAUGCAGUGAUCGCAUAUUAAGUACAUAGUUCUUUGUUCAUUUUUGCUUUUUCUAUUCCAAAGUUCUUAAUAACAACAAAACUGGUAAGUACAUGCCCAUUGCACACUCCCAAAUCAAGUGUCUGAUUUUUUCAGUGCCUUUCAUUUUUAUUGGCAAUGUAUCAGGAAACACUGGGAAAGCUUUUCUCUACUUCUGUCUUUGGUACAAAUAUUUACAAAGGCAGAAUUUCUUCAUCAGCAUUUAUCUUUGUAUGUUUUCAACAGCAAGGCAACCCACUCUGUUAUUCUGAUUUUUAAAUUUAUUUUAACAAUUAAUAAUUGAUGCUCAUUGAAAAAGAUCAAAAGUAGGGUGUGAUCUCUGCUUUCAUCUAUGAUAAAUGGAUGGUGAAGUGAAUUUCCUCAUUUGAGUAUUAAUGAUAAUUCAGAAAGAUAACAUUAAAAGCAGAGCCAUUUGCAACGAGGAAUUAAACUAGAUGUGUUUUUAAUCAGGUCUUAUUUUCACACUGUGAGGAGCUCCUGUAUUUAGCAUGCUAGACGUGCUCAAAGAGUUCAGUCAUGCGUAAUGGAAGCCCAGUUGGGGAAAGCAUCUGAGCCUCAAACUCAGGCUUUGAAUGCUAACCUAGCCAAUAGAGCAGAUAAAUUAAUAUCAACAUUUAAACAGGAGGACAGAAUCAUUACCAGGAAUUUAACAAUAAUUUGGUUACAAAUUUAGUCCUAAGCUAUUAAAAUUAAGCUAUUUCAUGACAAAACAUAUACUUAAAAUAUAAGCAUUUGUUCCUAAAGGCAUCAAAUAAAAAUAAAUUAACUAGCUCUAAAAUGAUCAAAGCCUACUUGACAACUUGACAAUACAAAUUCCUUCUAUUAUUAGAAUCAGUUUUUCUCAAAACAGUAGAAAAUAAAACUGACAACACAGCUAUAUUAUCCUCAAAAAGCGUUUGACAUAUUGUAGUUUUGAGGGUCAACUGGUGAAAGAGAGACCAGUCCAUUAACAGAUUUAUUUUGAUAUAGCAGACCCAGUCUGGUGGAAUUACAUAUACAUAAAUUAUCAGAACUUCAAUCAAUUGAACAUUAGCCAGCUAGUCCUCUAAAUCAUACUUUCAGCAAGCUAACAUCUCAUAAUCUCCUUUACUGUUCAAACUCUAAGUAAGCUAAAUAAUUUAUCCCACAUUGUUUUUAGUAUUCCAGAAAUGAAUGCAAUGGCUGACAUUUUCUUUAAAAAAAAAAAAAAUCCAUUCUUAUGUUUUUACCAUUUCCUUGGAAAGUUGCUCUAUGAGGAAACACUGCUAAUGCACCUAAUAUUCAGAAUUAUGAAUAUAAUUUAUUAAUGUUUAUGGAAUUGGGAAAAAUGGACUGGAAGGAUAUUUGCAAAUACAUUAAUCACAGCUUUGACUAUGUGGUAGAAUUUAAUUUUUUUCUUUCCAUAAAGUUAACGUGCCGUGUAGUUUCAAGUGUACAAUAUAGUGAUUCAGCAAUGCUAUAUACAUUACUGAGCGCUCAUCAUAAGUGUCCUCUUAAUCCCCUUCACCUAUUUCACCUAUUGCCCCCACCUACCUCACCUGAGAUUUAAAAAUUUUUUAAAGUUUUUAUUCAGGGCAGCCCGGGUGGCUCAGUGGUUUUGUGCCGCCUUCAGCCCAGGGCGUGAUCCUGGAGUCCCGGGAUCCAGUCCCACAUCUGGCUCCCUGCAAGGAGCCUGCUUCUCCCUCUGCCUGUGUCUCUCUCAUGAAUAAAGAAGUAAAAUCCUUUAAAAAAAAAAAAAGUUUUUUAGGAAAUAUAGAUGAAUAAAAACUUUUUUAAAUUAAAAUCUUAGAUGAAUAAAAACUUUAUAUUUUUUAAAAUAUUUUAUUUGUUUAUUCCUGAGAGACACAGAGAGAGAGGCAGAGGGAGAGACACAGGCAGAGGGAAAAAGCAGGCUCCAUGCAGGGAGCCUGAUUCGGGAAUAUGAUCCUGGAACUCCAGGAUCACGCCCGGGGGCCAAAGGCAGGUGCUAAACCACUGAGCCCCCUGGGGCGUCCCCCUAAAACACUUUUCAAUUAUAAUUUCCUUUGAUUAACAUAUAUUGCAUUUAUAAUUAGAAAAAGAUAAUAAAAACACUUUUGGAAGUCAGUCUCUGGGUUACUUUAAGUUCUCUGAAAUGUUGAUGUUGGACUAUACUAAAUCAACAUAUUUAUGUUAAGGGGUCCCAGGUGAACAAAAUGUUAUUAUUCACUAUGUUAAUUUGGAGAUUUCACUCAACCUUUUAAACCUCUAUUGUUGAUCCUCAUGUGAGAAAAAAUUUAACCUCUUCACUAGCAGUGAUAUACAUUAACCAAAUCACUCUAUGCAUAGGAGAUUGGAACUUUUAAACACCAGGAAGUAAGCAGAAUGGAAAUAAAUAAGGCUAUUGAUUAAUUCAGAGAAGAUAAAGCAUACUUGAUGGAAUCUCAAAAAUAAUACCACCAAAUAAAAUGCGUUUAGUAACUUGUUACAUAUGUAUUGAAAUUUUCAGCAUACUUAGGGUUUUAAGCUCCCUGCUCUAGUUUGAAGUAGAAAAAAAUUUAAAAACUUAUUUAUGGGGACGACUGGGUGGCUCAGCAUCUGCCUUAGGCUGAGGGCGUGAUCGGGCAGUCCCAGGAUCAAGUCCCACAUUGGGCUUCCUGCAUGGAGCCUGCUUCUCUCUCUCUCUCUCAUUAAUAAAUAAAAUCUUAAAAAAAAACUUAUUAAGGUACUCCUUUGAAAUGUUUUUAAAACUAUGUCCUUUUUGGGAUCCCUGGGUGGCGCAGCGUCUUAGCGCCUGCCUUUGGCCCAGGGCACGAUCCUGGAGACCCUGGAUGGAAUCCCACAUCGGGCUCCCGGUGCAUGGAGCCUGCUUCUCCCUCUGCCUAUGUCUCUGCCUCUCUCUCUCUGUGUGACUAUCA
rnacentral:lncRNA from 1 species